rnacentral:rRNA from 1 species
CUACGGGUUGCAGCAGUGGGGAAUAUUGCACAAUGGGCGCAAGCCUGAUGCAGCCAUGCCGCAUGUAGGGACAAGGCCUUCGGGUUGUAAAGUACUUUCCUCUUUUCCUCCUUUCGUCCCUUUAAUACCUUUGCUCAUUGACGUUACCCGCAGAAGAAUCACCGGCUAACUCCGUGCCAGCAGCCGCGGUAAUACGGAGGGUGCAAGCGUUAAUCGGAAUUACUGGGCGUAAAGCGCACGCAGGCGGUUUGUUAAGUCAGAUGUGAAAUCCCCGGGCUCAACCUGGGAACUGCAUCUGAUACUGGCGAGCGUGGGUCUCGUAGAGGGGGGGAGAAUUCCAGGUGUAGCGGUGAAAUGCGUAGAGAGCUCGAGGAAUACCGGUGUCGAAGGCGGCCCCCUGGACGAAGACUGACGCUCAGGUGCGAAAGCGUGGGGAGCCAACAGGAUUAGAUACCCUAGUAGUC